rnacentral:misc_RNA from 1 species
UGACAGGUUUAAAGGGACAGGCUCAGC